AUUCAGCUGACGAGUCCCAAAUAGGACGGAACACGCGUACUGGAU
rnacentral:hammerhead_ribozyme from 1 species